rnacentral:rRNA from 1 species
ACGGGAGGCAGCAGUGGGGAAUAUUGGACAAUGGGGGUAACCCUGAUCCAGCGACGCCGCGUGAGUGAAGAAGUAUUUCGGUAUGUAAAGCUCUAUCAGCAAGGAAGAAAAUGACGGUACUUGACUAAGAAGCUCCGGCUAAAUACGUGCCAGCAGCCGCGGUAAUACGCAUGGAGCAAGCGUUAUCCGGAUUUACUGGGUGUAAAGGGAGCGUAGACGGCAAAGCAAGUCUGAAGUGAAAUCUAUGGGCUUAACCCAGAAACUGCUUUGGAAACUGUUUAGCUAGAGUGCAGGAGAGGUAAGUGGAAUUCCUAGUGUAGCGGUGAAAUGCGUAGAUAUUAGGAGGAACACCAGUGGCGAAGGCGGCUUACUGGACUGUAACUGACGUUGAGGCUCGAAAGCGUGGGGAGCAAACAGGAUUAGAUACCCUGGUA